UACGUAGGGACCAAGCGUUGUUCGGAUUUACUGGGCGUAAAGGGCGCGUAGGCGGCAAUUUCAAGUCAUCUGUGAAAUCUCCGGGCUUAACUCGGAACGGUCAGAUGAUACUGCUUUGCUCGAGUGCGGAAGGGGCAAUCGGAAUUCUUGGUGUAGCGGUGAAAUGCGUAGAUAUCAAGAGGAACACCUGAGGUGAAGACGGGUUGCUGGGCCGACACUGACGCUGAAGCGCGAAAGCCAGGGGAGCAAACGGG
rnacentral:rRNA from 1 species